UACGUAGGGUGCAAGCGUUGUCCGGAAUUAUUGGGCGUAAAGAGCUCGUAGGCGGUUUGUCACGUCUGCUGUGAAAAUCCAAGGCUCAACCUUGGACUUGCAGUGGGUACGGGCAGGCUAGAGUGCGGUAGGGGAGAUGGGAAUUCCUGGUGUAGCGGUGGAAUGCGCAGAUAUCAGGAGGAACACCAAUGGCGAAGGCACAUCUCUGGGCCGUAACUGACGCUGAGGAGCGAAAGCGUGGGGAGCGAACAGGAUUAGAUACCCUGGUAGUCCACGCCGUAAACGGUGGGUGCUAGCUGUGGGCCACAUUCCACGUGGUCCGUGACGAAGUUAACACAUUAAGCACCCCGCCUGGGGAGUACGGCCGCAAGGCUAAAACUCAAAGGAAUUGACGGGGGCCCGCACAAGCGGCGGAGCAUGCGGAUUAAUUCGAUGCAACGCGAAGAACCUUACCAAGGCUUGACAUAUAGAGGAAAAGUGCAGAAAUGCACUCCCCGCAAGGUCUCUAUACAGGUGGUGCAUGGUUGUCGUCAGCUCGUGUCGUGAGAUGUUGGGUUAAGUCCCGCAACGAGCGCAACCCUCGUCCUAUGUUGCCAGCACGUAAUGGUGGGAACUCAUGGGAUACUGCCGGGGUCAACUCGGAGGAAGGUGGGGAUGACGUCAAAUCAUCAUGCCCCUUAUGUCUUGGGCUUCACGCAUGCUACAAUGGCCGGUACAGAGGGCUGCAAUACCGCAAGGUGGAGCGAAUCCCAAAAAGCCGGUCUCAGUUCGGAUUGAGGUUUGCAACUCGACCUCAUGAAGUCGGAGUCGCUAGUAAUUGUAGAUCAGCAACGCUACGGUGAAUACGUUCCCGGGCCU
rnacentral:rRNA from 1 species